GCCGGAGUGGUGAAACUGGUAGACGCAGGGGACUCAAAAUCCCCCGGUGGCAACAUCAUGCCGGUUCGAGUCCGGCCUCCGGCACCA
rnacentral:tRNA from 1 species